rnacentral:lncRNA from 1 species
GUAUUCUGCACGGACUGCUGGGCAGCACUAGCACUCUGGAGAAGGUCUGCCGCUGUCUGCACUUUCCUGGUUCUAUGCAGGCAGAUGAGUGUCACAGCUGUAACUGAGGCACAGAGCAGUACACACAGUGGAGCCGAUUUCCGCGAUGGCGAGAGGGGGCACCGGAGGUGACAACAAUAACAAGACUGUCCUUCGGACAAGUUUUAGCGCUGAAUAUCUUCAGGAAAAUGGGUUCCAUGAGAAGUGACAUCCUCCUCGAAUCAAAAGACUUGAGGUUAACAUGGGCAUAAUGUUCUGGAUGAAGCUUUGGAAGUACUUGUGAAGGGAAGAAUGACUUGGGCAAUACCAAAUGUUGAGUUAUCAAGUAUUUCGAUACCCAUAUGCAUCAUCUGCUAUUCUCAGGAUGAUGGAGUGAGUGAUGGAAUAGGUUGCCAACUGUAGUUACUCCACUCAGCACAGAAUGGCUGCGGGGAAAUAUAAUCAGACAUGCCCAAAGAAGUCUGCUUAGGGUGAAACAAAUACCUUUGAGGUUUAAAUCAGAAAGGAAGGAGAGACUGUUUCUACAGGUGUCAUACAAAAAUCAAUACUGAGCCAAGGAUUAUUGGAUCCCAUAGAACCACGGAGACUUGGUAGUGAAAUUCUUCCAAAGGCAGAUGGUGUUCCUAGGUUUGGAAAUAUAAAUCCCAUGGGAAGUCAGCUGAAGACCAUUUUAUGCAUCACUCAUCCUGUUAGAGCCCUGUGCUGUUCUGUCUCUCUAUAAGACUGGCUGAAACCACCACGGUUGUUUACAAUUUAUGCUCUAACUUUGGAUCACCUAGUUAAUACUCUAACUCCGAUUAUUACCAAAGACAAUGUUCUAUAAAAGAUAUUGUCUAUUAGAAGGAUGCUUCUGCAUUAUUAAUAAAAUCACAGGGAAAAUGCAACAUUUUGGAUGUCACAUCUGAUAAGUGGGUGACUGAUCGUACCCGCCAGCUGGCUAAUGUCAUAAUUAACAAAGUUGCUACUACAUCUGCAAAGUUUAAUCGAAAAAUUUGCCAGUGAUAUGAUGGCCUUGUCACAGAGAUCACAAGGGACACGGAGUUGACUUUUGCUCAAGGUGGAACGACAGAGCUGUGUAGGCAAGAUGAGAAAUUGCGAACUUGUUCGGCCAAAGGAGGCUAAUAAUGAAGGGGCCGGGAAGGAGGCCAGUGCUACCAGGGUUAUCUCACAACCUCAGAUGCUGGAUAAGUCGACGGAGGCAGAAUCGCUUUGGGAUGACAUUCAGAAAGCCUGGAGUGAUUACUUGCAAGAGAAAAGCCUACCUAUUCUUUCCAAGGUGCAGGAAUAUUCCCCUGACCUGCUCAUCCAGUGGUCCAGUAAUGAAUUACUGGAGACCUGCCUUAGACAAAGAAUGCACUCGGAGCCCCAACACACCUAAAGCCAUGCUUUGAAGGAUCUGCCAAGCUCACUUUUAAUCAUGAGAAAGAAAUUACCCACACGGAGUCAGCAGAAAAUGAGAAAGUAGAGCUCGUGCUGUGAAUAAUUCCAGCAAGUGCCAAGGGGCUAGUUGAGGAAUGGCUUCAUGAGAUGUUAGUCUAAAACAGCACCUUGGAUCUAAGCAGCACCUUUGAGAAAGAAAAGACUGCUUCAAGAAUGUCUAGUUGCACCUCCUUUCCGUAUGUGGCCUAAAUGCCUAGGUUGGAUCAAUAGUUUAAUUUUUUUAUUGAACUGUUUAAUAUUGACUAUGGACUUACAUUCACUUUUACUGUUUUCUGUAUAUUUACUUUUGCUUGAAGUGUUUUAAUAUUGACUAUUUACCUCUGCUCAUUUUUAUUGAUUUUCUGUAUUUUUUCAAUGAAAAUUAUAAUAAAAAUUAUUUUUGUUA